UUAAUUAUAGGCAUAAUUUGUGGAACUAUGUAUCUUCUCAGAUUUUAUUCUACACGUUUCUUCUCUCUCUUACAAACAAAACCCACGAUUUUCUCCCCCUUUUUAAUUACCCCCCCCCCACGUUUUUUUACCAAAACUGAUUUCUCUCUCUCUCUGCUUGAAUUUCAUCCGCCAUUGUCGAAGCUUGAACAGUUUCAGAUCGAGAAGUUUUUCUCAAUCCACCAUACUUUUAGUCCAUAAAAUUGUAUCAAAGCCAGAAACCCUCUACAAAAUCGAUUUCGCUCUCUCUCUCUUUUGAAGUCGGAUAACAUGUCAGUUUGUAUGUCCUUUGGCGUGUAAACAGUCUUAGAUCACAAUACUUUGGAACGACAAUGCUACCAACUAUUGUUGCAGUAAAUUUGCGCUGUAUGAAUGUUUCAUCCAUUCGGCAGCAUGUGUGUUGUCGACUAAAACUUCUUAUCUUGAACAAUGAAGAAUCAUGAAUUGACAUUGCCUUGAAAUGCCAUUUGCAGUUCUCAGCUACACAUACAAGCCAG
rnacentral:lncRNA from 1 species